GGAAGUCACGUGAGGGGUCACGUGAGGGGGCGCAGCCAUAGAGGGUCCCCAUUGGGGUCCUAUAAACGCUUAUGGGGUUGUGCGGUUCCUAUAUGGGAUUUGGGGUUGUGGGACCCCCAUAAGGCCCCCAUUGGGGUCCCCCAUCAGUUAUGGGGCUUGGGGGAUCCUAUAUGGGGUGGAGGACCCCCAUAAGGUCCCCACUGAGGUCCUAUAAACGCUUAUGGGGUUGGGGGGUUCCUAUAUGGGAUUUGGGGUUGUGGGACCCCCAUAAGGUCCCCACUGGGGCCCUAUAAACGCUUUUGGGGUUUGGGGGAUCCUAUGUGGGGUUUGGGGUCCCACAUCCCCCACUACUGCUCCAUAUCCCUCAUUAUGGCCCCAUAACCCCCUAUAAUGACCCCACAACCCCCUAUAAUGGCCCUAUAUCCCCCAUUGCCACCCCAUAAUCCUCUAUAACGGCCCCAUAAUCCUCUAUAACGACCCCAUAUCCCCUAUAACGGCCCCAUAAUCUCCUAUAGUGACCCCAUAUCCCCUAUAACGGCCCCAUAUCCCCUAUAGUGACCCCAUAUCCCCUAUAACGGCCCUAUAGGUGACAUAUGUUUCAACACGUCCCACACCUCUGUAACCAACUACACCGUUCAGCCCCUGGAUGCAGCGCAAUCCCCGCCCCUUCCGGCGCGCUGUGCGUCAGCCGCUGCCACCCGCUGUCCGACCGGCCGUUCCCGUGCGUGCACGGAGCAUGCGCAGUGAGCGGCGAUGGACCGCGCUGCCACUGCAGCGACUCGGCGUCGUUUUGGUACGUGGACGCGUCGUGCAGUUCCCGGCUGAGCAAAAUGGGGUUGGCUCUCGGGCUCCCCCUGGCGGUCAUCGGCGUCGGUGCAGCGGGCUGCGGGGUGGCGCUGCUGCGGACCCGGAGGCAGCGCAGGGCGGACAGGGAGAAGCUGCGCUCGCACUCAGCGCUGUACAGCGGCAAUGAGGAGGAGGAGACGUGGGGGGGCAGCGCCGGAUUCGCAGCCACCACAGAGCGGCGUCGUGGGAAG
rnacentral:lncRNA from 1 species